rnacentral:rRNA from 1 species
AUAUUUAAGUCUAAUCUGCCCACUGAUUUUAUUAAGGGCUGCAGUAUAUUGACUGUACAAAGGUAGCAUAAUCAUUAGUCUUUUAAUUGAAGACUUGUAUGAAAGAUUGGAUGAAAUAUAAACUGUCUCAAAAAUAUUAAUAAAAAUUAAUUUUUUAAUUAAAAAGUUAAAAUAAUUAAAAAAGACGAGAAGACCCUAUAGAGUUUAAUAAUGUUUUUUAUUUUUGAAAAAUAUAUUUAUAUUAAAAAAAUAAAAAAUAUUAUUUUGUUGGGGUGAUAAAAAAAUUAAAAUAACUUUUUUUUUUUUAUUUUAACAUAAAUAAAUGAAUAAUUGAUCCAUAAAUAAUGAUUAAAAGAAAAAAUUACCUUAGGGAUAACAGCGUAAUUUUUUUUUUUAGUACAAAUAAAAAAAAGAGAUUGCGACCUCGAUGUUGGAUUAAGAUAAAAUUUAAAUGCAAAAGUUAAAAAUUUGAGUCUGUUCGAUCAUAAAAUCUACCU